rnacentral:rRNA from 1 species
UACGUAGGGUGCGAGCGUUAAUCGGAAUUACUGGGCGUAAAGCGUGCGCAGGCGGUUCGUUGUGUUGGCGGUGAAAGCCCCGGGCUUAACCUGGGAAUGGCCGUCGAAACUGGCGAACUGGAGUGUGGCAGAGGGGGGUGGAAUUCCGCGUGUAGCAGUGAAAUGCGUAGAGAUGCGGAGGAACACCGAUGGCGAAGGCAGCCCCCUGGGCUGACACUGACGCUCAGGCACGAAAGCGUGGGGAGCAAACAGG